CUUAGUGGCGGACGGGUGAGUAACGCGUGGGUAACCUGCCUUACACAGGGGGAUAACACUUAGAAAUAGGUGCUAAUACCGCAUAAGCGCACAGUCCCGCAUGGGACAGUGUGAAAAACUGAGGUGGUGUAAGAUGGACCCGCGUCUGAUUAGCUAGUUGGUGGGGUAACGGCCCACCAAGGCGACGAUCAGUAGCCGGCCUGAGAGGGUGGACGGCCACAUUGGGACUGAGACACGGCCCAAACUCCUACGGGAGGCAGCAG
rnacentral:rRNA from 1 species